rnacentral:rRNA from 1 species
AGAGUUUGAUCCUGGCUCAGGAUGAACGCUAGCGGCAGGCUUAACACAUGCAAGUCGAGGGGUAUCACGCUUUCGGGCGUGAGAGACCGGCGCACGGGUGCGUAACGCGUAUAGAACCUACCUUUUACAGAGGGAUAGCCCAGAGAAAUUUGGAUUAAUACCUCAUAAUAUUGUUGAAUGGCAUCAUUUGACAAUUAAAGCUCCGGCGGUAAGAGAUGGGCAUGCGUGCCAUUAGCUAGUUGGUGAGGUAACGGCUCACCAAGGCAACGAUGGCUAGGGGUUCUGAGAGGAUUAUCCCCCACACUGGUACUGAGACACGGACCAGACUCCUACGGGAGGCAGCAGUGAGGAAUAUUGGACAAUGGGCGCAAGCCUGAUCCAGCCAUGCCGCGUGCAGGAAGACGGCCCUAUGGGUUGUAAACUGCUUUUAUACAGGAAGAAACACUCCCUCGUGAGGGAACUUGACGGUACUGUAUGAAUAAGCACCGGCUAACUCCGUGCCAG